rnacentral:rRNA from 1 species
CGAACGGGGAGAUUCAUCGUCAGCGGACGCCGGCUUCGCGUCGGUCGGCGAUGUCCCGCGGGGGCCCUCGCGGCUCUCAGCGCGGGCACGCUGCCGUGCGCCGAUGUAUCCGGCUUCGCCGUCGUGCACUUCUCCCCUGGUAGAACGUCGCGACCCGCUGGGUGUCGGUCUACGGCCCGGGUGCGGUGUCUGACGCGCCGCCGGUAAAACGGCGCGCGUCAAACCCCCGGUCGCCCGGCCGGCUGCCCGGCGGUACGCGCAAGGUAUCAGGCCGCACACACAUUUGAACGGUGCGUCGAGGCCGUCGCAAGCGCGCGCCACGGUACACGGAGGUACGGACCUAGCGCCGUCACCGGUCCUGGCCCGCUGUUGGUCGUACGGUUAACCUUCGACAGGCCUACGAACGUCCCAGCGUUGGGGGUCGCGGGGGCUCGUCUCCCGCUCUCUCUCGCGUUGGC